GCCGUCUGGAGGGCGGGAAGAGAGCACUGCAUGUAGAGUUUUGCUUUUCUUGCUUGUCAGCUGAGACCCUGCUCCCACUGCUGUAGGUGUCUCCCCUGAUGUGGUUGUCACCUUGGCGUCCUCCAGCCUGGCAGAGCCCAGCUCAUCAGGGUGGCUUCUGCUGGAACCACGGCCGGUCCAAAAGGCUCUUUAAUCACCACUUUAUCCAUUCAUGGAACAUCUGCUGAGCCGGGCCUGUCCAGCAUCUGCAGAUCUCCAACUGGAACAUGUGCCCCAGGAAACAAGAGAAGGAUCCCCAAAUAAAAUACAGGACCCUGGAAUUUCAGAUAAACAACCCAUCCUU